GACGAACGCUGGCGGCGUGCUUAACACAUGCAAGUCGAGCGGUAAGGCCCUUUCGGGGGUACACGAGCGGCGAACGGGUGAGUAACACGUGGGUGACCUGCCCUCAGCUCUGGGAUAAGCCCGGGAAACUGGGUCUAAUACUGGAUAUGACUCCAUGACGCAUGUUGUGGGGUGGAAAGCCUUGUGCGGCUGAGGAUGGGCCCGCGGCCUAUCAGCUUGUUGGUGGGGNGAUGGCCUACCAAGGCGACGACGGGUAGCCGGCCUGAGAGGGCGACCGGCCACACUGGGACUGAGACACGGCCCAGACUCCUACGGGAGGCAGCAGUGGGGAAUCUUGCGCAAUGGGCGAAAGCCUGACGCAGCGACGCCGCGUGUGGGAUGACGGCCUGG
rnacentral:rRNA from 1 species